AAGGACCUAAGUGGGACGUACCAGGGAGAUAUUUUCCUCCUGAAGUUACUUACCGAAAUGGUGACGUGAGCCUGGAAUGGCCAGGAGCCACUACAUAGUACCUAAAAUAAACCCACACUGCGGGAGGCAGAGCUAAGACAGAGAAAAAUGGAAUUCUGAAGAUAUUAUUAGAGCUGCUAUCAAUCUGGCCCUAGCCCCGAACUUUUCAAUUACUUGGGCCAAUAGAUUUUCUCCUCCCACCCCAUCUUCUUGGCUGAAGCCAGUUUGAAUUAGUUUUUGUCUUUUGCCACCAACACUGAAAGAGUUUUGAUAUAGAGACGGAUGAAAAGACAGCAUUCCUGAUCCUGAGGCGGCAGACGUAAACUCAAGUGUGAGAAAUUGUUGGGAAGAUUGAAAGAGCAGAUUCGAGGAGGCUAUGCUUCAAGAGCAGCUUUCCAGAACCACACCACAGGACUGGCUGCUUCUGGGCCCCACAGCCACGAUGCCUCUGCACCAAUCAGGAAGCUGCUGGUUUUAGAAUAACCAAAUGUCUCCACCCGUGUUUGCCAAGACAGGGUCUUCCUAUGUUGCCCAGCUGGUCGUCUCAAACUCCUGGGCUCAAGCAGUCCUCCCACCUCAGCCUUCCGAGUAGCUGGGACUACAGGCACACCACCAGGUCUGGCUGAUAUACUUUUUAUUUUUUGUCAAGACAUGGGUCUCACUAUGUUGUCCAGCCUGGUCUUGAAUGACUGGCCUCAGUUGAUCCUCCUGCCUUGGUCUCCCAAAGUGUUGAGAUUACCGGUGUGAGUCCCUGCACCCGGCCUGAGCAUUUCUAAUGUUCUAUGCUAAGUGUAAU
rnacentral:lncRNA from 1 species